CAGUCGCCGCGGUAAUACAGAGGGUGCAAGCGUUAAUCGGAAUUACUGGGCGUAAAGCGCGCGUAGGUGGUUUGUUAAGUUGGAUGUGAAAUCCCCGGGCUCAACCUGGGAACUGCAUUCAAAACUGACUGACUAGAGUAUGGUAGAGGGUGGUGGAAUUUCCUGUGUAGCGGUGAAAUGCGUAGAUAUAGGAAGGAACACCAGUGGCGAAGGCGACCACCUGGACUAAUACUGACACUGAGGUGCGAAAGCGUGGGGAGCAAACAGGAUUAGAGACCCCAGUAGUCCCUGUCUCUUAUAA
rnacentral:rRNA from 1 species